CCUACGGGUGGCAGCAGUGGGGGAUAUUGCACAAUGGGGGAAACCCUGAUGCAGCGACGCCGCGUGAGUGAAGAAGUAUUUCGGUAUGUAAAGCUCUAUCAGCAGGGAAGAAAAUGACAGUACCUGACCAAGAAGCCCCGGCUAACUACGUGCCAGUAGCCGCGGUAAUACGUAGGGGGCAAGCGUUAUCCGGAUGUACUGGGUGUAAAGGGAGCGUAGACGGUUAUGUAAGUCUGGAGGGAAAGCCCGGGGCCCAACCCCGGGACUGCUUUGGAAACGGGGUAACGGGAGUACAGGAGGGGCAGGCGGAAUGCCUGGUGUAGCGGUGAAAGGCGUAGAUAUCAGGAGGAACACCGGCGGCGAAGGCGGCCUGCUGGACUGAAACUGACGUUGAGGCUCGAAAGCGUGGGGAGCAAACAGGAGUAGAUACCCUUGUAGGG
rnacentral:rRNA from 1 species